rnacentral:RNase_P_RNA from 1 species
UAGGAACAAUAGGUAGUUGCUGGUAGCAUUAUGCUACGAGAGGAAAGUCCGGGCUGCAAGUGAGACAAAACUCCAUCUAACAGAUGGCUAGAGUAAUCUAAGGGCAAGUGCAACAGAAAGAAGGUAGCCUUAACUUCAUAAAAACUCUCGUCCUCAAGGACGUAGCUUUAGUGAGAUGAAUUGAGCAGGAGCUUUGCUUCUGUUCAAGAAGAAGGUCACAGUGAAAGGGUGGGGUAAGAGCCCACCAGUACUUAUGGUAACAUAGGUAGCUAGGUAAACCCUGUUUGCAGCAAGAAGUAUAUGGUACAAGUCUCACAAGCUGUUCAAUCAGCACUCAUACUUCGCUUGAGUCUAUGGGCAACCAUAAACCUAGAUAAAUAACUACCCACGACAAAACCCGGCUUAUCGUUGUUCCUAUAUA